GUCACUACUCUUCCGUAAAUCCCUCCUUCCUCCCCUCUCCUGCCGGAAAUGCAUUAUAGGGAUUUUACCUUCAUUGCAAAGAGCUCUCACCCUCUCCCUCGUGCAGAUUCCUCUCUCUACGGCUCUUCUCUUUGGCACUACUGGACCCUUGUACUCUCUUCGCGUUUGUCGUAGUUGGUCUUCUGCACUCUCUUAUGCUACCGUCAUUGGCUUCGUGCACCUUCGUUGUCACCGCCUGUCCCUUGAGUACUACUCCUAGGAAGUUUAGCGAUGUCAGAAGCCAACUCACCGCGGUCUCCACCGAAUAGAUCGUCUUUGAGCGACCUAGGGGUCUAGAUUUGUGGUAUUCUUGUUUUUGAUUGUUUCAUACUUGUUGAAAUCCUAAAGGGCAUUCUCUUAGGGGUCUCUCUCUCUCUCUCUCUCUCUCUCUCUCUCUCUCUCUGAGGUCUAAAGAGGGUUUAGGAUCAAUGCCCUUUUAACUUUUAAGUUUGAUCUAAGUGAAGAAAAACCCUACUAAUCCUUAACCUGCUCCCAAAAAAAAGACGAGUUUGAUUUGGGAAUUUUAUUGGCAACCUUGCAUCCCUCAACUCUCAAGUUUUUAGUAGAAAUUUUUCUUCCCUUUCGCCAGACAAUGACAAACGUCCUUGUGCAUCAUGUCCUUGGCCAAUGUAAGCUAGUUAAAUUAGCUUGUGUUAAACUAGCUCUAUGUCGUCAAUUUAAACCCUAUCCCCUUAAAAUUUGUACCGUUACUUGUUUCAAAAAUUGAAUUUGGAACACUCCCUCCUUGUUGGCUGUUUAGACAAAGCUAUACGAAGGAGGUGGAGACUUGCUCUCGCGAAUUUGCAGUCCUCUAGAAACCAUGUACAACUGCGAUUAUUGCGAUGCUUAUUUGACAGGAUACAUGAUUUUGUGAAAUGUCCAAAUUGAACAAAAUUCUCACUAGCUUGAGAUUUAUUGGUGGUAGAGCUUAGCUUUUGCUAAUUACAUCAAAUUGAAUUCCAAGCAGUGUCUUUUCACUGAGAAAGAGAAGGAAGAGAUGAGAAGAAUUCCAUAUGUUUGAGAAAUUAGAAAUUGAUGUAUGCAAUGGUUUGCAUAAGCUUAUGUUGUUGGUGUUAGUAGUUUUGUCUUCAAUCCUAAUAGUGAGCAUUGGAAUGUUGUUAAAUGGGUUCUUAGGUAUUUCUCUUCAUUAUGUGUUUGUUUUGAGAAUUGGAAACUUAUAUUAGUUAUACAGAUGUAUAUAUGACUGCAGAUGUGGCUACUAGGUCUAUGUUGAGAUACUCGAUUACUUUUAUAAGGGAAGUUGUGGCUUGGCAGCUAAAAUUGUAAAAUUGUGUUGUCCUUUCUACUACUAAAGCAGAGUUUAUUGCAACUACUGAAGCUUGCAAGGUGUUGUGGAUGAAAAGUUUUCUGCAAGAGCUUGAGUUCAAGCGAAAGAGCUGCAUGUUGCAUUGUAUAGUUAGUGUGAUUCAUUUUUGUGAGAACCAUACUUUUUAUUCUUGAUUUAAAUACAUUGAUUUGAAAUACCACUGAAUUAUAGAUGCAUUGGAUUGUGAUUUUUAGAAAUUGAGAAGAUUCAUAUCGAUGACAAUGGUUUAGACUUGAUUACAAAAUUUCUAUAAAGAAAAAAAAUAUAAAACUUGUUACAUAA